rnacentral:rRNA from 1 species
UACGGAGGGUGCGAGCGUUGUCCGGAAUCAUUGGGCGUAAAGGGCGCGUAGGUGGCGGGACAAGCGUGCGGUGAAAGCCUGGGCUCAACCCGGGUCGGCCGUGCGAACUGUUGCUGAGCACUGUAGAGGCAGGCGGAAUCCGGGUGUAGCGGUGGAAUGCGUAGAGAUCCGGAAGAACACCGGUGGCGAAGGCGGCCUGCUGGCAGUAGCUGACACUGAGGCGCGACAGCGUGGGAGCAACAGG